rnacentral:rRNA from 1 species
UAGGGAAUCUUCGGCAAUGGGGGGAACCCUGACCGAGCAACGCCGCGUGAGUGAAGAAGGUUUUCGGAUCGUAAAGCUCUGUUGUUAAGGAAGAACGAGUGUGAGAAUGGAAAGUUCAUACUGUGACGGUACUUAACCAGAAAGGGACGGCUAACUACGUGCCAGCAGCCGCGGUAAUACGUAGGUCCCGAGCGUUGUCCGGAUUUAUUGGGCGUAAAGCGAGCGCAGGCGGUCAAUUAAGUCUGAUGUGAAAGCCCCGGCUCAACCGGGGAGGGUCAUUGGAAACUGGUUGACUUGAGUGCAGAAGAGGAGAGUGGAAUUCCAUGUGUAGCGGUGAAAUGCGUAGAUAUAUGGAGGAACACCAGUGGCGAAGGCGACUCUCUGGUCUGUAACUGACGCUGAGGCUCGAAAGCGUGGGGAGCGAACAGG